GAUGAACGCUGACAGAAUGCUUAACACAUGCAAGUCAACUUGAACUUCGGUUUGGGUGGCGGACGGGUGAGUAACGCGUAAAGAACUUGCCUCACAGAUAGGGACAACAUUUGGAAACGAAUGCUAAUACCUGAUAUUAUGAAUAUAUGGCAUCGUAUAAUUAUGAAAGCUAUAUGCGCUGUGAGAGAGCUUUGCGUCCCAUUAGCUAGUUGGAGAGGUAACGGCUCACCAAGGCGAUGAUGGGUAGCCGGCCUGAGAGGGUGAUCGGCCACAAGGGGACUGAGACACGGCCCUUACUCCUACGGGAGGCAGCAGUGGGGAAUAUUGGACAAUGGACCAAGAGUCUGAUCCAGCAAUUCUGUGUGCACGAUGAAGUUUUUCGGAAUGUAAAGUGCUUUCAGUUGGGAAGAAAAAAAUGACGGUACCAACAGAAGAAGUGACGGCUAAAUACGUG
rnacentral:rRNA from 1 species